GGUCCUAAAUGCUCUUCAACUUCGUUUUUUAAAUGAUUAGUUACCUUGUUUUAUUCGACAGUCAUUGAUGGGUAUGCCGUAGGCGUCUGGCGGACAAAAUUAUAAGUUUGGUUUAUCAUAUACAUAGACUUAAUAGCAUAUGAUUUUAACUGUAUGAUAAUAGCAUUAAAUUAACGUAAAUUCCAUAAUUGUCGAAUUGGUGCUUAGCGGGCUGAUGGGAAAAAUGUAUCACAUGCUUUCUCCUCUUCCAAUUAUUGGUACUCGUUCGAAAUGUUCUUGUUGGUUUUCGAUUAUUCUUGAAAUAUUCACGGCUUCAACUCGAAGUCCAUUGCUAAUUAACUAAGACUUCAUAAAAAUCUUCUUUUGUUUCACUGAAAUAUAUAAACGGAGUUUAAGAAGUCGUCCUUCACAGAAUUUAUCAGUUGGAGACCUCUUAGGAGUUAAUACGACACUUACAUAAUAAACCCGGAAAAAAA
rnacentral:lncRNA from 1 species